UACGUAGGGGGCUAGCGUUGUUCGGAAUCACUGGGCGUAAAGCGCACGUAGGCGGAUCUUUAAGUCAGGGGUGAAAUCCUGGAGCUCAACUCCAGAACUGCCCUUGAUACUGGCGAUCUCGAGUUCGGGAGAGGUGAGUGGAACUGCGAGUGUAGAGGUGAAAUUCGUAGAUAUUCGCAAGAACACCAGUGGCGAAGGCGGCUCACUGGCCCGAUAUUGACGCUGAGGUGCGAAAGCGUGGGGAGCAAACAGG
rnacentral:rRNA from 1 species